rnacentral:tRNA from 1 species
CAUUAGGUAGCUGAAAGUAAGCAAUGGUCUCUUAAACCACUCAUAGUAAAUUCACGCCUACUUCUAAUGA